UGGUAAUUCUAGAGCUAAUACAUGCUAAAAGCCUCGACUUCGGGAGAGGCGUAUUUAUUAGAUAAAAAACCAAUGCCCUUCGGGGCUACAAGGUGAUUCAUAAUAACUUAACGAAUCGCAUGGCCUUGCGCCGGCGAUGUUUCUUUCAAAUUUCUGCCCUAUCAACUUUCGAUGGUUGUGUCUUGGACAACCAUGGUUUCUACGGGUAACGGGGAAUUAGGGUUCUAUUCCGGAGAGGGAGCCUGAGAAACGGCUACCACAUCCAAGGAAGGCAGCAGGCGCGCAAAUUACCCAAUCCCGACACGGGGAGGUAGUAACAAUAAAUACUGAUACAGUGCCCUUUCGGGUAUUGUAAUUGGAAUGAGAAAAAUUUAAAUCCCUUAACGAGGAACAAUUGGAGGGCAAGUCUGGUGCCAGCAGCCGCGGUAAUUCCAGCUCCAAUAGCGUAUAUUAAAGUUGUUGCAGUUAAAAAGCUCGUAGUUGAAACUUGGGCCUGGCUGUCCGGUCCGCCUCACCGCGUGCACUGGCUCGGCCGGGCCUUUCCUUCUGGGGAGCCGCAUGCCCUUUAUUGGGUGUGUCGGGGAUCCAGGACUUUUACUUUGAAAAAAUUAGAGUGUUCAAAGCAGGCCUAUGCUCGAAUACAUUAGCAUGGAAUAAUAGAAUAGGACGUGUGGUUCUAUUUUGUUGGUUUCUAGGACCGCCGUAAUGAUUAAUAGGGAUAGUCGGGGGUGUCUGUAUUCAACUGUCAGAGGUGAAAUUCUUGGAUUUGUUGAAGACAAACUACUGCGAAAGCAUUCACCAAGGAUGUUUUCAUUAAUCAGUGAACGAAAGUUAGGGGAUCGAAGACGAUCAGAUACCGUCGUAGUCUUAACCAUAAACUAUGCCAGCUAGGGAUCGGACGGUGUUAUUAUUUUGACCCGUUCGGCACCUUACGAGAAAUCAAAGCGUUUGGGUUCUGGGGGGAGUAUGGUCGCAAGGCUGAAACUUAAAGACAUUGACGGAAGGGCACCACCAGGCGUGGAGCCUGCGGCUUAAUUUGACUCAACACGGGGAAACUCACCAGGUCCAGAUUUGAUAAGGAUUGACAGAUUGAGAGCUCUUUCUUGAUUUCAAAGGUGGUGGUGCAUGGCCGUUCUUAGUUGGUGGAGUGAUUUGUCUGCUUAAUU
rnacentral:rRNA from 1 species